rnacentral:rRNA from 1 species
UACGGAGGGUGCAAGCGUUAUCCGGAUUCACUGGGUUUAAAGGGUGCGUAGGCGGACAGGUAAGUCAGUGGUGAAAUCUCCGGGCUUAACCCGGAAACUGCCGUUGAUACUAUUAGUCUUGAAUACUGUGGAGGUAAGCGGAAUAUGUCAUGUAGCGGUGAAAUGCUUAGAUAUGACAUGGAACACCAAUUGCGAAGGCAGCUUACUACACAGCGAUUGACGCUGAGGCACGAAAGCGUGGGGAUCAAACAGG